rnacentral:rRNA from 1 species
UACGUAGGGUGCAAGCGUUGUCCGGAAUUAUUGGGCGUAAAGAGCUCGUAGGCGGUUUGUCGCGUCUGGUGUGAAAAUCCAGGGCUUAACCCUGGACCUGCAUCGGGUACGGGCAGACUAGAGUGCGGUAGGGGAGAUCGGAAUUCCUGGUGUAGCGGUGAAAUGCGUAGAUAUUGGGAGGAACACCAGUGGCGAAGGCGGCUCACUGGACCGGUACUGACGCUGAGGCGCGAAAGCGUGGGGAGCAAACAGG